rnacentral:rRNA from 1 species
GGGGAAUUUUCCGCAAUGGGCGCAAGUCUGACGAAGCAACGCCGCGUGAGUGAGGAAGGCCCUUUGGGUUGUAAAGCUCUGUUGCCGGGGAAGAAAGUUAGUGUAAGGAAAUGUGCAUUAAUUGACGGUACCUGGUGAGGAAGCACUGGCUAACUACGUGCCAGCAGCCGCGGUAAUACGUAGAGUGCAAGCGUUGUCCGGAAUCAUUGGGCGUAAAGGGUACGCAGGCGGAUAUACAAGUCAAAUGUGAAAGGUGUAGGCUUAACCUACAGACUGCGUUUGAAACUGUAUAUCUUGAGAGCAGCAGAGGAAGGCGGAAUUCCUGGUGUAGUGGUGAAAUACGUAGAUAUCAGGAAGAACACCAGUGGCGAAGGCGGUCUUCUGGGCUGCAUCUGACGCUCAUGUACGAAAGCUGGGGCAGCGAAAGGGAUUAGAUACCCCUGUAGUC